GACGAACGCUGGCGGCGUGCCUAAUACAUGCAAGUAGAACGCUGAAGGAGGAGCUUGCUUCUCUGGAUGAGUUGCGAACGGGUGAGUAACGCGUAGGUAACCUGCCUGGUAGCGGGGGAUAACUAUUAGAAACGAUAGCUAAUACCGCAUAAGAGUAGAUGUUGCAUGACAUUUGCUUAAAAGGUGCAAUUGCAUCACUACCAGAUGGACCUGCGUUGUAUGAGCUAGUUGGUGGGGUAACGGCUCACCACGGCGACGAUACAUAGCCGACCUGAGAGGGGGGUCGGCCAGACUGGGUCUGUGACACGGCCCGGACUCCUUCGAGAGGCAGCAGUAGGGGAGCUUUGGCAAUGGACGGUAGUCUGAUCGAGCAACGCCGCGUGAGUGAAGAAGGGUUUCGGAGCGUAAAGCUCUGUUGUAAGAGAAGAACGGGUGUGAGAGUGGAAAGGUCACUCUGUGACGGUAUCUUAUCAGAAAGAGACGGCUAACUACGUG
rnacentral:rRNA from 1 species